UACGGGGGGGCAAGCGUUGUUCGGAAUUACUGGGCGUAAAGGGCGACUGUGAGCGGUUUGCUAAGUCGAAUGUGAAAACUCUGGGCUUAACCCAGAGCCUGCAUUCGAUACUGGCAGGCUAGAGUUCUGGAGGGGAUAGCGGAAUUCCUGGUGUAGCGGUGAAAUGCGUAGAUAUCAGGAGGAACACCGGUGGCGAAGGCGGCUAUCUGGACAGAGUCUGACGCUGAGGCGCGAAAGCUAGGGGAGCAAACAGG
rnacentral:rRNA from 1 species